rnacentral:ribozyme from 1 species
UGCCCAGCAACUCCUAUCCCUAUCUUCUCGUGUACUGGCCGGGGUACGAGUAACCUUAGGGAAGAUCUGGUAACCAACCCCUGUGGGAACUUUGGUCGUAUGCUGUCAGGGAAGG